rnacentral:rRNA from 1 species
CCUACGGGAGACUGCAGUGGGGAAUAUUGCACAAUGGGGGAAACCCUGAUGCAGCGACGCCGCGUGAGUGAAGAAGUAUCUCGGUACGUAAAGCUCUAUCAGCAGGGAAGAUAAUGACGGUACCUGACCAAGAAGCCCCGGCUAACUACGUGCCAGCAGCCGCGGUAAUACGUAGGGGGCAAGCGUUGUCCGGAAUGACUGGGCGUAAAGGGAGCGUAGGCGGUCUGUUAAGUUGGAAGUGAAAUCCCGGGGCUCAACCCCGGAACUGCUUUCAAGACUGACGGACUUGAGUGUAAGAGGGGUAAGCGGAAUUCCUAGUGUAGCGGUGGAAUGCGUAGAUAUUAGGAGGAACACCAGUGGCGAAGGCGGCUUACUGGAUUAUAACUGACGCUGAGGCUCGAAAGCGUGGGUAGCAAACAGGAUUAGAUACCCCAGUAGUC